CAAAUUGGGUUGAUUUGGAUCCGGGGAAACCCGGAUGACCCGACUUAUUUUCGACUGUCCGUAUUCGUAGCACUUCUCAGUUCUCAGUGGCAAUGGCGCCUAAACGCCGUCGAUCAAGGAAGCGCAGAAAGCUUUUCAAACGAAGAGUAAAGGUGAAAGCGGUGCGGGUAGCGGAAGAGCCCGGAGACGGCGAAGGGGUUAGUCCGAUGGUCGAGAAGUAUUGGCUUCAGAGAUUCAAUCUCUUCUCCAAGUACGACGAGGGCAUAAAGAUGGAUGAAGAGGGGUGGUUUUCCGUCACGCCGGAAGAAAUCGCCGCCAGACAAGCCGACCGCUGCUUCGGCGGUGCCGUCGUCAUCGACGGUUUCACCGGCGUCGGCGGUAACGCCAUUCAAUUUGCCGCAAAGUGUAACCAUGUUAUUGCCAUUGACAUUGAUCCUAAAAAGAUUGAAAUGGCUAGAAACAAUGCAAGGAUAUAUGGAGUGGAGGAGUAUAUUGAUUUCCUCACUGGAGACUUUUUCCAAUUGGCGCCAUUUCUGAAGGGAGACAUUGUAUUUCUCUCACCGCCAUGGGGUGGCCCGACUUACAAAUUGAGAAGCACGUAUACUCUCGAGCUCCUGAAACCAAAAGAUGGUUAUUCGUUAUUUCAGGCUGCGCAAAACAUUACGCCUAACAUCAUGAUGUAUUUGCCUCGCAAUGUGGACUUGCUUCAGGUGGAACAGCUUUCUUGGUUAUCUUCGCCCCCUUUACAAAUUCAGAUUGAAGAAAACACGCUUCAUGGCUACGUGAAAGGCAUAACGGUUUAUUUUGGUGAUAUUGCAUCUCCAUAGCUCAGGUUCUUAGCCAUCAUCUAUCUGUCAAUGUCCCGAGUUACCUUUUGACCUCACCGGCCUAAUUCUUUAGUCUCCCACGGAAUACCCUAUUUGUACCCCGGGAAUACAGGUAGCAGAACUUCGACCUCGUCUUCCACUGACUACUUACUCGUAGGUGGCGGGGCUAAAAUUUAUUCAGGUCCAUGCUUAGAAAGUGAGAAUUCUCCCUGUGGCAAUUAAUUCUCACAUUCAUUGGAUUAGGAAGAGCUGUGCCCCUUAUGUAUAAAGGUAGUUCUACAAGCCCUGAUAGGGGUGGUGGUCGAGUGGGUGCAGCAUGACUUUUGUACCUAAAGUCACGAGUUCAGUUCUUGUCAACACUCUCUAGGUCAAGUCUGUCGCACAGGGUCUUCUUAGUGCAGUUACCUUUCCCGUGUGGUUUGCUGGCUAUUAGACAUGUGUAGAGUUUACUUGUGCAUAUCCUUAGGUAGUGGCUGCGGGUUUCUCUCGACAUAAAAAAAAAAAGGGUAGUUUCAGAAACAAAAUAUGAGUUUUUGGUGAAACAUUUGCCCUGGUUUGAGUCAGUAGUGUCCUUAUCAGUCUUUGUGGAGUUGAAAAUGACAACAUUGUGCAAAGUUGUGAUUUUUUGCGUGCCCAAUGUUGGCAUUAUUAUAGUUAUGUUGUUAAAGUUGGUAAAUAAAUACCAACAAUUUUACCCA